rnacentral:rRNA from 1 species
UACGUAGGGAGCAAGCGUUGUCCGGAAUCAUUGGGCGUAAAGCGCGCGUAGGCGGCCCUGUAAGUCCGUUGUGAAAGUCAAAGGCUCAACCUUUGAAAGCCGAUGGAUACUGCAGGGCUAGAGUCCGGAAGAGGCGAGUGGAAUUCCAGGUGUAGCGGUGAAAUGCGUAGAUAUCUGGAGGAAUACCGGUGGCGAAGGCGGCAUCCUGGACCGACAUUGACGCUGAACGGCGAAAGCUAGGGGAGCAAACGGG